ACCCAGACUCCUACGGGAGGCAGCAGUGGGGGAUAUUGCACAAUGGGGGAAACCCUGAUGCAGCGACGCCGCGUGGGUGAAGAAGCGCCUCGGCGCGUAAAGCCCUGUCAGCAGGGAAGAAAAUGACGGUACCUGAAGAAGAAGCCCCGGCUAACUACGUGCCAGCAGCCGCGGUAAUACGUAGGGGGCAAGCGUUAUCCGGAUUUACUGGGUGUAAAGGGGGCGCAGACGGCGAUGCAAGCCAGGAGUGAAAGCCCGGGGCCCAACCCCGGGACUGCUCUUGGAACUGCGUGGCCGGAGUGCAGGAGGGGCAGGCGGAAUUCCUGGUGUAGCGGUGAAAUGCGUAGAUAUCAGGAGGAACACCGGUGGCGAAGGCGGCCUGCUGGACUGCAACUGACGUUGAGGCCCGAAAGCGUGGGGAGCAAACAGGAUUAGAUACCCCCGUAUA
rnacentral:rRNA from 1 species